CCUACGGGAGGCGGCAGUGAGUAAUAUUGGUCAAUGGGCGCGAGCCGGAACCAGCCAAGUAGCGUGAAGAAUGACUGCCCUACGGGUUGUAAACUUCUUUUAUAAAGGAAUAAAGUGAGGCACGUGUGCGUUUUUGUAUGUACUUUAUGAAUAAGGAUCGGCUAACUCCGUGCCAGCAGCCGCGGUAAUACGGGGGAUCCGAGCGUUAUCCGGAUUUAUUGGGUUUAAAGGGGGCGUAGAUGGGUUGUUAAGUCAGUUGGUAAAGUUUGCGGCUCAACCGUAAAAUUGCAAUUGAUACGGGCAGCCUUGAGUACAGUUGAGGUAGGCGGAAUUCGUGGUGUAGCGGU
rnacentral:rRNA from 1 species